rnacentral:lncRNA from 1 species
CUCAAUCCUCAGAGCAGGGUGCUGGGGAGAUGGCUUGGUGGUUGAAACUCUUGCUUGUAAGGAUCCUCAGAAUCCACAGGAAUGCCAGCGCAUUGGAAGGUGUGGCCUCAUUGGAACAGAUGUGGCCUUGUUAGAGGAAAUGCAUCACUGUGCGGUGGACUUUGAGGUCCUAUGUUCAAGCUCCACCCAAUGUGGAAGAGAUCUCCUCCUGGCUGCCUGCAGAAGACAGUUUCCUCCUGGCUGCCUUUGGAUCAAGAUGUAAACUUGUCUGCUCCUUCUCCAGCACCAUGUCAUCCUGGAUUCUGCCAUGUUUCUUGCCAUGAUGAUAAUGGACUGAACCUCUGAAACUGUAAGCCCACCCCAAUUAAAUGUUGUUCUUCA